rnacentral:rRNA from 1 species
ACAAGGUUUCCGUAGGUGAACCUGCGGAAGGAUCAUUGUCGAGCACUGCUUUGCAGAACGACCCGUGAACAUGUACCGGAUACCGGGCGUCGGGGAAGCAGGGCCAAUACCCGUGACCUCGUACGUCCUUCUGCCGACGUACGUGCAAGCUGCCUCGUACGGGCAUCGUGUACGUUUCGUCGGAACAAAAACAAACCCCGGCACGGAACGUGCCAAGGAAGACUAAAUAGAAGAAGGGUUCGGCUGGUGUUGCCCUGUUCGCGGUGCGCGCACGAGCCUGUUCCCUUUGUAAUCACAAACGACUCUCGGCAACGGAUAUCUCGGCUCACGCAUCGAUGAAGAACGUAGCAAAAUGCGAUACUUGGUGUGAAUUGCAGAAUCCCGUGAACCAUCGAGUUUUUGAACGCAAGUUGCGCCCGAAGCCAUUCGGCCGAGGGCACGUCUGCCUGGGCGUCACGCAUCACGUCGCCCCCUCCAUGUCUCCAUGAACGGGACGCUUGGUUCGGGGGCGGAGAUUGGUCUCCCGUGCCCAUGGUGCGGUUGGCCCAAACACAGGUGCCCCUUGCAGCGGACGCACGACUAGUGGUGGUUUGUAAUAGCCUCGUCUCGGAGUCGUGUGUUAUGAGAUGCAAGGAAGGCCCGUCAAAGACCCUAACGUGUCGUCUCGUGACGGCGCUCCGACCGCGACCCCAGGUCAGGCGGGACUACCCGCUGAGUUUAAGCA